rnacentral:misc_RNA from 1 species
GAUGAAGAACGUAGCGAAAUGCGAUAAGUAAUGUGAAUUGCAGAAUUCAGUGAAUCAUCGAAUCUUUGAACGCAUAUUGCGCUCUCUGGUAUUCCGGAGAGCAUGCUUGUUUGAGUAUCAGUAAACACCUCAACUUCCAUAUCUUUUUUGAAAUGGGAGUUGGACUUGAGUGAUCCCAACGCUUUUCCUCACCGAAAAGUGGCGGGUUACUUGAAAUGCAGGUGCAGCUGGACUUUUCUCUGAGCUAUAAGCAUAUCUAUUUAGUCUGCCUAAAAAACAGAUUAUUACCUUUGCUGCAGCUAACAUAAAGGAGAUUAGUUCUUGUGCUGACUGAUGCAGGAUUCACAAAGACAGGCUUCGGCCGACUUUGUAAACUCGAUCUCCAAUCAAGUAAGACUACCCGCUGAACUUAAGCAUAUCAAUAAGCGGAGGA